rnacentral:rRNA from 1 species
CGUGGAUCGAUUUGUCUGGUUUAUUCCGAUAACGAGCGAGACUCUAGCCUACUAAAUAGUGACGGAAUUGAUAUUGUUUCGAGCACUUCUUAGAGGGAUUUUCGGUGUUCAGCCGCACGAGAUUGAGCAAUAACAGGUCUGUGAUGCCCUUAGAUGUCCGGGGCUGCACGCGCGCUACACUGGCGAAAUCAGCGUGCUUUAUCCUAUCUCGAAAGAGACGGGUAAACCCAUGAAAAUUUGCCGUGCUUGGGAUCGGAAAUUGCAAUUAUUUUCCGUGAACGAGGAAUUCCAAGUAAGUGCGAGUCAUCAACUCGCUCUGAAUACGUCCCUGCCCUUUGUAC